GACGAACGCUGGCGGCGUGCUUAACACAUGCAAGUCGAACGGUAAGGCCCUUCGGGGUACACGAGUGGCGAACGGGUGAGUAACACGUGGGUGAUCUGCCCUGCACUUCGGGAUAAGCCUGGGAAACUGGGUCUAAUACCGGAUAGGACCACUGCCUGCAUGGGUGGUGGUGGAAAGCUUUUGCGGUGUGGGAUGGGCCCGCGGCCUAUCAGCUUGUUGGUGGGGUGAUGGCCUACCAAGGCGACGACGGGUAGCCGGCCUGAGAGGGUGACCGGCCACACUGGGACUGAGAUACGGCCCAGACUCCUACGGGAGGCAGCAGUGGGGCAUAUUGCACAAUGGGCGCAAGCCUGAUGCAGCGACGCCGCGUGAGGGAUGACGGCCUUCGGGUUGUAAACCUCUUUCAGCACCGACGAAGCGCAAGUGACGGUAGGUGCAGAAGAAGGACCGGCCAACUACGUGUCAGCCGCCGCAGUAA
rnacentral:rRNA from 1 species